GUUAGUUGGCUGCUUUGUGGAGAAGAAAGAGGCAGUGCUCUGAGGAGAUGCCCAUGAGAAACACCAAGAAGCUCCUUUCUGCAUCCUUUGGCUGGAGUUGGAAGGUGAACAGCACCAACUGUAUGAUGCUCAAUCCCAAGCAGCUGAAAGGAGGUGAAACCCACUGAUGAAAUAACCUGUUAUCACUGUGCAUCUCAACAGACAUCCCUGAAAAUCAUCCUGGCAGUUCCAUUCCCUUUUCCUGGGGCACUUGCCCAGCUCAGCUGGUCAAAUCCAGCGUGAUGAACUCCAUUCUGUGUGACAGACUUGCCAGGAGGCCAAAAAUGUCAAUAAGAAAGGAAAGAGAAGUUAAAAACCUGCCACCAUUCUGAAGUUCAUUCAUUCAUAGUGUGGGUGUAAACAGACUCAGCUUUAACAACAUGGCACACAUUCUCCCGUGGCUGCCUCUCUUACUGGUCAUGGAAAACAGGAGAAUGAAUAUUGGCUUUUUCCAGAGCGUCAUCAUGAAUCCUUAACUGUUAAAACCAGCAGACAUUCGGGCAAGCAGAUCUAGACUGGGAAUGCUAGAUGUUGCACACUCAAAACCGUAUCAGAAAAGCAUUUGAGCAAAGCCCUCAAACCUAAGGAACAGCCUACUAACACAGGUGAUAGAUGAUGAAGGAUGGGUUGCAGGAACUGGAGCUUGCUGGCAAUUUGGGAAGAGCCAAGGGUGUGUCUGGCUGAUGAGCUCUUUGCCUCUUGGGUGCUGCAGGGGGUGGCCUCCCUUCUUCCCCAUUUUAUGCAAGGGAAGGUGGGAAGCUGGGUAAGGAUCCAAGAGGGGAAAGAAACAUGUUUGCUGGGCAUCCUCCAAAGACAGAUUUAAUUUUCUUUGAAGAGCUGUGCUCUCUUUUCUGUUAAGACAUAUGGAAAUUGAGUGCAUUGUUGCCUACAGUCAUGUGGAUGUUGUUUUUUCUGUUGUGACUAAGGAUUCAAUACUGUGUAGCACCCUGUAAUGUGGUCUGAUAGGGCAUCUUCAGUUUGCCACUGUAGACAAGUUUCUUUGAUUGCUUUGUGACUAGUGCAAUUGGAAACAUAUUCCAAACACAAUGAUGGGAAGAAAGGGAGGCCUGUAUUUCCCUUCAGUGCUCUCCAUGUGAUCUCUCUGGAUCGUGUACCCAUGCAGUUUUCUGUGGUUCUUUUGCACACCCCAAGUGAAGUAAAAGAAGCUUUCUUGACCUAAAAGGAGCUAUUCUUUCAAAGCAUGGGGUUUUCCAGAUUUGUAAUAAAACUAUCAUUGUGUUUCAUAAAGGUAGAGCUUCUGCAAGUGCAGUUCAUAAACAGUGUCAUGGGAUGUUUUCAGAGCAACUCAAGGUCUGUUCAAUUUCCACAGAGAUCAUUAAAGUCUUGCUAUUGACAAUAUCCUGCUUUACCUUGAAUUCUUAUUCCAGCAGAAGAGAGGUCUCUCAUGGUCCUGUGUCAUGUCUGCAAGCAGUUCUGGCUGCUGACCCAUGUCUGCUUCCCUUCAUGAAGCUGUGCCAGGCACUAAUUUACCAGAGAUGCAGUAAAAUGCUGCAUCCUACCUUCAAAUUCCUAGAGACAGAAAAUGAAUUCAUAAGCUUUGGUCUGCAGGUGUCAACACACAAUUGUGUCUGUACAGGUGGGAGAGUUCAGUCCUCUCCAUUGGCUGCAUUCAGGGUUUUCAAAGACCUCCAUCAGCAUUUUUCAAGCCUGUACACACUUGAAUUGGAACAGUAAGAAAACAUCCACAAAACUCAAGUGAAUGGACUGGGGAAAAAUCUUGAAAAGUGAAGUGGAGAUCCAGCAGCUCUGUGUGUCUGAUCCAUUCUCGCUUUUCUAUGUUCUAAUUCUUGUACCACAUUGAGCAAAGACUCUGCUGUGGUGUCCAAACCAGGAGAGAUCUGGCAGGUUGGAUCCCAGAGAUGCGUGUACCACUCCCCUGUAAUGCCUACUGCACUUCAAAGGCAGGUUUUGUAUUAGUUUUGAGACAAACUGCAAACUCCAAUCUAGCCAUGGACUUGCUAUAGAGAGCACAACAAGCUUGUCCAUGGGUAUGGUGACUUGCCUAUUUUCCAAAUGAUCCAGCUCCAGGAAAGGAAAAUUCAAGGGUCUUACAUUAAUGUGAACUCAGUGAUCUGGGAAUUUGCUGUAGGUAGUGGCUCUGCUGAUUGAGUUGAGUGGAAAGACCAUCUCCCCUGUGCUCCUCCUGUUCUUUCCAAGCCCAAAAGGAGGAGGUAAGGACACAGCCUGACUGCAAAAGGGGAGGAGAGCAGCCUCCUUUGCUUGUGUCUCCAACAGCUUGGACACCAGCAGUGUGGAGCUCACCUUGUCCUUCCCCCUGGCAAACCAAGCCACUAUUUCUGACACAUUCUGCUCACCUAGAUUUAGGAAAUCCACACAGGAGUAAGUAACACAAAAAGAGUGAAAUCAGCUACCUCCUGCCCCAGUUUCUCCAGCGAGGAGUACAUCCCUGUCAUUACAUGCUUAAAGUAGAGAUCAACUCUUCCUUCCUGUUCAUGCAGCUCUGGGAAAACUGGUUGUACUUUGUUCAGAGAAGAAUAAACAGCAACCACUAACAUGGUCAGCUCAUUCCUACCAUCUGUCAGCUCAUUCCUUGAUCUGUCAACUCCUUUUGCUGCUUAUUUGCUGGCAAAGAAACUCAAACCAAAGGUCCUUUGGGAGAUGCAAAGACAAUAGAAGGAAACAUUGGCCUGGUGUCUGAUGUUACCACGAAGAGCUGGCCAGUGCACAUAGAAAUACUGGACUUACGAUAGAAAAUUUAAUGGUGAAUAUUGCAGGAAUGGAACCUGUGCUCCGAAGGGCUUAUCUGUUCCCUGACAUACACUCCAAUUGUCCGUCGUUUUCCAGCACGCUCCUCCCCCUGGAGGAGGCUACUGGUCACAGCAUCUCCCCCAGUCAUUCCCCGUUUUCGAUUCCCAAUCCCAAUUUCCAGACUUCCAAACUUAGACAGUGCUUCCCAUCUGAGCAGUCCUGAUGUGGAGUACAAUUCACAAGACACUGGCUGUCCAAUCCUUCCUGGAGUUCUUCCUUAGGUGCAUUUUGGCUCUUCCCUCUUGCACAAGAAAUAUCCUGGUUCACUCACAAGCUGCCACUGCUCCGUGCAGCUGCUGCUUGUUAUCAAGAGGUUUGUGUGAAACAAAACCUAGUUAUAAAAGAAGGGAAAAAAUGUGGAUUCCCUAGGGCUGGG